rnacentral:lncRNA from 1 species
CAGAUAACUGUGACCCUUUUCACUUUGGACCAAGAGGGAACACAUGUGAAGUCAACGAAAGAAAAGAAUGCGGCAGAGUCAAAAACCAAGAGCCUAAAGGACAAAUCCAAGAAUCACAGAGAAUACUGCCCAGGAUGUCUAUAUUAUUUUAUUUAGAGAAUUUUUCAAAAGGCAAUGUAAGGCCCAAAUUAGCGUGCCUAUAGACUUCCUGACUUGAAACAGAACACUCCUUUUUGUGUAUGUAAUUUACCAGAGAC